rfam:Cycloclasticus sp. symbiont of Bathymodiolus heckerae isolate specimen P Ga0097674_1073, whole genome shotgun sequence.
GAAGGUAGGUCCUUCGAAACCGGCUUUCGGAAGCGGGUUUCAAACCACUUAAUGCUGCUUUGAUAAAGAGUCAUGGUAGUGAGCGAUUAAGAAAAGGCAUUGUGAAAAUGUCAGGU